CAGGUUUUUUGGUAACCCGGUAGUAACCCUGCCUGAGCACUAUGUGCCAGUUCACAAGGCCACUCACUCAAGUUUGUUCAACUCCCACAUCAUGACAGAGAGGUUAUACCUGAAUGGACAGCGGGUUGGCCAGCACUGCUGCUCCUCACCGCUGCCACAGGGCUGGCUCCUACGCCAGGUUGGCUCCUGCUCCUGUCCGGUCUCACCCCAUUUCCAGCAGCCCAUGUCCCCUCUGCUUUGCCUGCAGGACUCACGCAGCAACAGCCUCAAGACCUGCAAGAAGUAUGGGGAGCUAUGGUGGAAGUUUUGUCGGUGAAGAAACUUUGGGCUGGAAUCCCUGCUUACCACAUGAAAAAUUUCUGGGGGCACCCCCCGUUGUACAUUUUACUUUGCUCUUUGAUGCCGAUUCCUGAGCUGCUCCAUAUUUGAGUCUGCUGAUGUCAGCAGCCUGUUAACUAGCAAACUGGUCUGAGAGGACAGGAUCAGCUGCAGUACCUACAGUUUCCUGGAUCUGCCCUCUGAUCGUGGAGUGCGUGCAUCUCCUGGUUUGAUGGAGACUAGAACAUUCACUCAUCUCUCAAGAGAGGUUUCCACCACUGAAAUCAAGGGAGGCAUGUUACACAUGUGUAUUACGAAUGUAUGUAUUUGUGCAUAUGAUUUUCAAAUUUUGUGUCUGUCACAUGAGACCUGAUCAUCUGUCUUGCCUAGAGUGGAUGACUAACAGGCUUGAUUCCUCUACAAGAUUAAAAAACCCUACCUCAUGCUGAAACAUCCUGCCACCUGCCAUAAUCAGCGCAGGAUUUUUGAAUAAUAAAUAAGAACAGUACAUUCCUCAGAAUUCCUGCUGAACUAUUUCUAUUCAGGUCCUAGUAUUACAGCUCCAGAAGAUUAGUGUUGAGCAUACCUUCCACAUGCUCAACAUCCAAACCACACUGAAGUCAAUGGGAAACUUUCGAUUGACUUCAGUGGAGAGCGGAUCAAGUCCAUUAGGAGAAGUCCCAGUACUCAGAUGGGCCAAUCCUAACAAAAAGAGGCCAUAUAGAUUAAGGAAUCUUAAAUCCAGUUGCUUAUUCACUGCACCCAAACAUCAUUUAUACACAAGAACAAAACAAAUGCAAGAAGCCCCUGGGAACUCAAACCAAUGUUGAUGGACACUAGUUCUGUGAUCAACGGGCAUCAGACCACACCAGCUCUCACUGCUGAUGAGGCUCCAGAUCAAGACUGGAUCACCGAGAAUUCUGCAAACCUUGUGUUGGCCUACGUUGUCUCUCCCUGCCCUCUUGCCCAAGGCUACUCAGCACACCGCAAGGCAGGUGUGGACCGGAGCAUUCAUAUUGUCAUUCCAACUCAGUGUGGAAGUGGCACCCCAGGAAAUAACAAAUCCUUCAAACUACACCAUUUUACACAUGAAACCAGAGCCAGAGCUAAAGCCAAUGUGGGCUUUCUAUUCAACUAUAGAGGCAGAAGACGGCAGUUUCACAAAGGAGCUGUUUGAGAUGCUAUCAGCAAUAGCGGUGAGAUUCCUAAGAUUCCUCUUUCCAGCCAUGUUGACAAGCCUCGGAUGUAAAACGCCCGAACACAUUUCCUCUUUCUCCAUGUUAGGACUCUUUCGUGUUAUCUCUGGUCCAACCCACAUAGCCAGCCACAUCUUCAGCCUGCUCUUCACACUAAAUGCCAGCAGAGAGAACAUCACACAGUAUGGCCCUAUCUUAGACAACCUCCUCGUUCUGUCAGCAGUCUAAGCUUUCCCCCCAUUCAGGCAACAGGAAGGCUCAUGGACCUCAUUAUGCUUCAGGACAGCAACAGCCUCCCAACAGGCUGAGGAGUUGAAUUGCUAAUAGGUCAUUUUGUCCACAUGCACUAGUUACUACCACUGAUACCCUAGAUCUCAGACAGCCCCCUCCUCGCUAUUGCCCACACAAAUCCCAAUGGUCCUUCCUUGAAGAGAGAAGGAAACUUGAGUGCCAAUGACAAAAAACUUGGGUUGAAGCAUACAGGUUAAAACAGGAAGAAUUUCUACAGGCCUCUGCUGAGGCUGUAGGAUACUUUAAUCAUGGCAGAAUCCAGCGUCACUUGAUAUGAGGAGAUUUAUGCCUUCUUCAGGUGGAAGAGGCCACCCAUAUACAGGAAAGGGGCUCCAGAUAAUCUCUUCAAGGCUGGAGGCAGGAAAGGGGCAUGAUACAUCCUGCUCCCACCUACCAUUUCCCUCCCUACCGAGGCCCAGCUACUCUCUGACCCAGGCCACCUACAGCUACUAUACAGAACCCAGUCCUACAGACCAUGGAAUCACAAGAAGGGAUGACUCCUCACUUCUGCAUGGAUCCUGGAGCAUGAUCUGGCUCUUGAUCCUAUGAUACUUACUCAGGCAAUUGAGAGUCAAUGGAAGCUUUGCCUAAUUAAGGUGUGAAGUAGGGCCAAACCUCUCAUAACCUUUUGUUUUGGUUUGCUUUUUUAAAGACCCUGUUUUGUGUUGCAAGGGUACCUGACCUUAACAUUUACAACAAGGAGGCAAGAGAAAUGAAGUGUGAAAAGAGAAAUCUCUGCCAAACUUCUGCAGAUUGUGAAGUAAUAUCACUGCUGACAGGGAGGGAAAAAAUCUAUCAAGAAGCCAUGCAGACAUUCACCAGAAGACCAUCCAUUGCCAGAUGUUCCAGCGCGGGUGUAAAAGAACUGUAACAUUAGCAUGAGUACAGAAGAGUGACUAGAAAAAAUUAAGCACAGUCAAGAAUGUCUUCUCUGGAAUAUACUUGCAACUAUUACAGAAUAAGAUCAGAACCAAAGGCUCUCUACAAGCUUCUGCAAAAAGUUUGCUUGGAAACAACAAACUAAAGAGCUCUGGUGGGCUACACUCACUCUGGGAGCGCCCCCUUGCAUCCCUGUGUGAUGUCACUGGUAUCUUCUACUCGAGCACUUCCUGCAGGCCACUUCCUUUUGGUUCCAGGUCUUCUGUGGCUCAGUCCUCCAGCCAAGUUGUGUGAAGUUCAAAGCCCUUUUGAAGUAACUACAAACCCCUAGUCCCUCUUGGGCUCCACCAAAGUUCUCUGUUCAUUGGCCUCUUCUCCUGGUGCCUGCAGAGCUCUUCUCACCUUAAUACCUCUCUAGCAGGCUUCCGCUACUGCCGCCCUUCCCCAGGGAUUCUGACAGCUUUCCUUAGGUAUCUUCCUGCUGCAAAACUUCUCUUAUAACUACUAGAUCUUCUGCCACUGCUAGGCUUUUCUUCUAUUCCCUUAUCCGCAUAGGUCCUAUCUCAGAGCUCCCGCACAGGAUUGUACUCUGCUUUCUAUGGGCACAUCUACAUUGCAAUUAAAAACCUGCUGCUGGCCCAUGCCAGCUGACUCCGGCUCAUGGGGCUCAGCCUAAGGGCCUGUUUAAUUGUGGAGUAGACAUUCAGGCUCAUGCUGCAGCCUAGGUCUAGAACCCUGCAAGGUGGGAGUCCCAGAGUUUAAGCUGCAACCUGAGUAUCUACACCUCAGUUAAACAGCCCUUUAGCCCGAGCCCAAGUCUGCCAGCAAUGGGUGUCUACUUUCAGUAUAGACACACUCUAUGAGACUCUCAGCCUGCCUUCCUCAGGCUCUUCCCAGAGGAGAAUUCCCCUCAUUCCUCCCUCUAGUGAGUUCCUAGCUCUGUGUAAGUAGGGGUCAGUUUCUAAUACACCCAGCUGGGAUCACUAAUUAGUCCAUAUGUACGCAGCUCCAAGGGCAGCACCUUCUGCCUGAAGCCCCGCCUCUUCCACCUCUCCCCAGAUCCCAGAGCCCCCCAACCGUGGCCACCAGCCCCCACCCCAGGCUAGCCCCCCCACAACCUCAGAGUGCAGGGAGUGAGGGCAGCACUGGUGCUGCCCCAGCCCCUGGAACUGGGCAGAAGAGCAGAAGCAGGGGUCUGCUAACUCAUGGGCAAGGUUGAGCCCAGCUUGCAUCAAAGGGCCAGCCAGCCCAUGACAGGAGCCUUGUGCUGAAUUCUGCUUUAUGCAGCAGGUCUCGCUGGCAGAGCCGUGCUGUGUUAGACACAAGGGAACCACACAUCCCAUUAACUUUAUUCUUCUAUUAUUUAUAGCUAAAGCUAAGAUUUAGUCAUGGGUAUUUUUAGUAAAAGUCAUGGACAGGUCAUGGGCAAUAAACAAAAAUUCAUGGCCCCGUGACCUGUUCAUGACUUGUACUAUAUAGUCCUGACUAAAUCUUGGGUGUUCUGGGGGGCUCCAGGAGAGCAAGUGCUGCUCUGGAGAAGGAGCUCUGGGGCGCCCGCUGGCCCUGUGGGGGACUCCGGGACACCUGCUGGUACUGGGGGGAGGUCUCCGGGGCACCCGCUGGUGCUGGGGGGAGGAGCUCCAGAGCACCUACUGGUGCUCGGGGGGGGAGGGGCGCGCAGCUCGGCACCGCUGCAGCCACUGCUGGCAGCCCAAGACCACCGCCGGCACUGCUGCUGGUGGGAGGUGGUCCCGCCAGCCUGGGACUGCCACCACUGCUGGGGUGGGGGUGGGGGUGUUGUGGCUGGCCCCAGGGCUGCCCAAGCUACUCGGGCAGCCCUGAGGUCGGUAGCACCUGCCGGCUGCAGAAGUCACGGAGUUCCCAGAAAGUCAAGGAAUCUGUGACCUCCGUGACAGACUCAGCCUUAUUUAUAGCAUUACUUUAUUAGUUCAUUUGUUCAUUCUCCUCACAUUUAAAGGAGGGUACUCCCUUGAGUUUUGUAUCAGGCUAGUGGUCAUUUAUGACCUAUGUGCCUUUUUCACUGAUAAGUGAUAAAUAUGUGUUUGUAAAUCUCUUACCUAAUGCCAGUGAAUAUUAAUCUUCCUAGCCCUAAAAUAAAGCCAAGAGAUUGAAAUUAGGAAGAAAAAUCCUUUUUAAUCAAAAUACAUUGACCAGUUUAAUAAAGAUUACAGAGGGGUUGAAGCUACAAAUGUUCAGAUCAGGGUCCAAAUUUCCUCCAAGUUUUGUAAGAGGGCAGGAUUUGGAUUCAGGGACUGAUUCAGUUUCCUCAGUGAUGAUAAUAAUAAUUACAGUGGCUUGCUUCAUCCAUCUCUCUCCCUUCCUUGUCUCCCCCGGCCCUCCAACUUCCCAUGCAGGAGAGGAAGACCAGCUGCCUCCAGUGCACUGUCUGCCUUUUCCCAUCACAAAGGGCUCUCUGUGAGCCUGGUGUCCACACAGGUGGAAAAAGCUGAGAUUGGGUAGGCUAGGCCAGUGGCUCUCAAUCUUUCCAGACUACUGUACCCCUUUCAGGAGUCUGAAUCGUCUUGCAUACCCCCAAGUUUCACCUCACUUAAAAACUACUUGCUUACCAAAUCAGACACAAAAAUAAAGAAGAGUCACAGCACACUAGUACUGACAAAUUGCUUAAUUUCUCAUUUUUAAACCAUAUAAUUAUAAAAUAAUUCAAUUGGAAUAUAAAAUAUCCUACUUACAUUUGAGUGUAUCUUAUAUAGAGCAGUAUAAACAAGUCAUUGUCUGUAUGUAAUUUUAGUUUGUACUGAUGUCGCUAGUGCUUUUUAUGUAGCUUGUUGUAAAACUAGGCCAAUAUCUAGCUGAGUUGAUGUACCCCCUGG